rnacentral:lncRNA from 1 species
GUCAGUGGUAUGUAGUAUGAACUAGAAGAAGAUGGAUCUUGAAGAAGAAAAAAGAUCAGUUUACCUCAUUCAACCUUCACUGCAAUCAAGGAGGAAGCUUUAUCAUCCCUAUCUGACAGAACUGAGGACAUGGCUGAAGGAGAUUAAAAGCACAUUUGGAAAUACCGCUUUAGAUACUCUACAAGUUAACCUUGGAAUAAACCAGACUAUCAGAGGGCAUUGUCACUCACUGACGGAUUUCUUUCAUUCCUCUCUGCUUUGGCAUUAGGCAGUCAGCCACAUCAAGAGACUUCAUAAGAAACAGCCCUGUAACUCAUUUGUUGCUUUCCUGUAAGAAUGUUGUCAAGGACAUUAUUUACUUCAUUACAAAGGGUCUUCUUUGUGCUGGAGAAACUUCUCUCAGAUCUCUGUGCCAGGAAGAAUGGUGUUUCUCUCAAACACUGGGUUUGAUAUUACAGAUAGUAUAAACUAUAUAUCCAGGCACAUCCUCCUUUAGUGAGUAUAUACAAACUGGCUUCACUUCAUUUUUUUCAUCUUCCAACUUCUCCAUAAUAAUAUUUACUUUUAAAAAUGUUCUUAACAAUGAAUAUGACCAAGACAAUUUGAGGAAACCAAUCAUAAACUUUGUGUCAAUAUAGUAAGCAUGUUUCCUGCAGGGAGAUACCACUGUUCCCACUAAAAUAGAACACAACAAAAGGAGGCAGGAGAGAAAUGAAUGACUUAGGACCUGUCUAGGUUGAAAAGGCAAACUAGAAGUGGGGCACACCUAACUUGUUUAAAAAGACUUUGUCAACUAUUAUUUGUGUACUCUUGGCAUUUCUGUGUUCUCCUCAUUCCUAUUUCAUUCCUAUUCCCCUUUAAUAUUUCCUUUACAUACCUGAUACCUUCCCUCCCAAAAAUGGUGUGUGUCUAUGUAGUUCCUUGAUGAUUUUGUCAACGAAUAAUAAACCCUGGGUUUUGGAUAAGGAGGUGAAAAGAAAGGGCUCUGCUUGAUUCUGCACAGGGCUAUACACCACAGGGCGAGGAAAAAAGGAAAAUCCAAAUAUGUUUAGUCAGGAUGUUUUCCUAAACUAUUGAAGAAAUCUUAUCUGGCCUCCUCUUAAAAUAUGUAAGAACUGUUUCCAGCUGCUUGUUAUUUGGCUGUGCUUAUUUUAGACCAAAGCCAAUAAAAAAAAUGAGACUCUUCCCACAGUUUACUUAUUAAUUAUACAGGAGAAAAUAGUAGCUUAACAGGAGAACUCUGGUGGACACCCUUUUACCCAACUUAGCAAUACUACCAGUGGGAUGAACAGGCACCAUGUGUCUGCUUGUGUGACAGUGUGACAAAACACAAUACCACUUACCUUUCAUUCCUGAGGGGAGAGAAAAGUGCAUCCUGAAUCUAAUUAUAGGGAAACAUGGGAUAAACCCAAACUGAGGGACAUUCUACAAAAUAAAUGGCCUGUAUUCUUCAAAACAAUAUCAUGAAAGACAAAAAAAGGUAAGAAAACAUUCCAGAUUAAAGGAGAUUAAAGAGUCAUAAAAACUAAACCUAACACAAGAUCCCAGAUUGGGCUCUGAACCAGGGAGAAAAAUGCUAUAAAGAAUAUUAUUGGAGUAGUAGCUCGUGCCUGUAGUCCCAGAUACUCAUGGGGGAGGCUAAGGAGGGAGGAUAGCUUGAUCCCAGGAGUUCAAGGCUGCAAUGAGCUAUGAGUAGAACACUGCACUCCAGCCUAGGCAUCACAGCUAAACCCUGCCACAUAUCCCCCAACCAAGGAAAAGAUAUUUUUGAAGCCUCUGGCAAAAUUAGAAUAAAGAUCUGUAGAUUUGAUAAGGGAUUGUAUUAAUAUUUCACAUUUUGAUAAUUAUAACAUUGUUAUGUGAGCAAAUAUUCAUGUUUUUAGGAAAUACACACUGAACUAUUUAGGGGUAAAGAAGAACUGUGCCUACAGCUUACCCUCAAAUGAUUCAGAAAAAUAGAAUCACAUAAUCAUUUUAUGUAGAUGGUAGAGAUAAAUAUAGACAUAGGUGCAUUUACCCCAUGUUCACGAUGCAGCACGUUCAUCACACAGCACGAUGGGAUAGAUGGAUGGAUUCACAGAUGGAUGGAUAGUUAAAGAGAUGAAAGUAAAUGAGGCAAA